AUCACUAAAGUCUAUCAAUUGGU
rnacentral:siRNA from 1 species